GAUGAACGCUGGCGGUAUGCCUAACACAUGCAAGUCGUACGAGAGUUUUUAACUCUAGUGGCGGACGGGUGAGUAACACGUGAGAAUUUGCCUUUAGGAGGGGGAUAACAAUUGGAAACGAAUGCUAAUACCCCAUAUGCUUUUGAGUGAAAUGGAUUUUAUCCGCCUAGAGAGAAGCUCGCGGCUGAUUAGCUUGUUGGUAAGGUAAGAGCUUACCAAGGCGACGAUCAGUAUCUGGUUUGAGAGGACGAUCAGACACACUGGAACUGAGACACGGUCCAGACUCCUACGGGAGGCAGCAGUGGGGGAAUUUUCCGCAAUGGGCGAAAGCCUGACGGAGCAAUACCGCGUGAGGGAAGAAAUGCCUAUGGGUUGG
rnacentral:rRNA from 1 species